UUUAAAUUAACUUUCUCUAAGAAUCAAAGAAUAACCUCUAGAGACCCCAGCUUGCUCAAAGAGGAUUGAAGAAAUGACCCCAAGUCCUGUUCUUGACAAGCUGACCCAAACAUUUAGAAGAAGACAGCAGGAAUCAGCCAUCAACUUUCUGUGAAAAGUACAACCACAACUGACCAUCUGCACUGGCAUACAGUCAGGCGAUUGGCCAAGGCAAGUAUCCUUUGCAUCCUUCUGAGUAUCCUGAGGAAGCUUUGCUACCCAGCCUACCAAUGAGUUUAAUGAAUAGAGGAGACUUUGUCCAGGUUCCAGGACAAUCUCAAGUCCUAAGUGGUCCUCAUCACACACUAACAGUGUCCUCUUGAUCUUCCAAAAUAAGGAAACAUGAUAGGAAAGGGGUCUGCAGAUCUUGGCCCAUGAGAACCUUCUCUAAGGGCUUUAUGUAGAGGAGACAUCAAUGCCAUCAAAUGGGGGAGCCAUCCCUACUGUGAACUACUAUGAUUUAUUCCUGAGGAAGCCAGUCUCUUCCUGGGGGCUGGAUACUCAAUGGUGUCACCUACCCAACUCCCAUAUAAAGAAAAAGAAAUGACAAUAGGGAAUCAGCACUUGAGGUGCCAUUACUUAAGUCAAGCAAGCAAAAUUCUCACUGUCUGGAAAAGACCAUCUCUCUGUGCCUCAGUUUCCUCAUCCGUAACAUAUAUCUUCAUAUGACAGUGGUAAGAAAUAAAUAAAAAUGAGUAUCUGUUCAAAUGUUAGCCAUCGGUGU